AGAAGACCUUGCUUGACAAUUAGGGAGGCUUUGGCUCCCAGAGGCAUAACACCAAGCCAGGAACCUCUUUCAGCUUCUGUCUCUGCCAGUCUGUUCUGGUCUGAGCUGGUCAGGCUUACACAGGCUUUGUACAGGGGCCAAAGAGGGACUGGACAGCCUAUUUCUUUGGGGCUGGUGGCUCCAACUCCAAAUUAGGGGUGUAGUGAAUGUCUUUCCAAGAAGGUUCAGGUCUGUGGAGCAACAUGAAGGCUGUUUCCAAAGGAUGGCAUCAUAUGAUUGCUGGAGCCUCCAACUCACUACGUAGUUAAAAAUGACCUUCAACUUCUAAGCCUCCUGGCUCCGCCUUUGUUGGGAUUACAGGCAAGUGCUGCCAUGUCUGGUUUCAUGUGGUGUUGGGGAUUGGAACCAGAGCUUCAUGC
rnacentral:lncRNA from 1 species